UUUUCAUCAGACAAUCUGUGUGAGCACUGCAAAGUACGCUUCUUUAAGGUAAGGAGGUGAUCCAACCGCAGGUUCCCCUACGGUUACCUUGUUACGACUUCACCCCAGUCAUGAAUCACAAAGUGGUAAGCGCCCUCCCGAAGGUUAAGCUACCUACUUCUUUUGCAACCCACUCCCAUGGUGUGACGGGCGGUGUGUACAAGGCCCGGGAACGUAUUCACCGUGGCAUUCUGAUCCACGAUUACUAGCGAUUCCGACUUCAUGGAGUCGAGUUGCAGACUCCAAUCCGGACUACGACGCACUUUAUGAGGUCCGCUUGCUCUCGCGAGGUCGCUUCUCUUUGUAUGCGCCAUUGUAGCACGUGUGUAGCCCUGGUCGUAAGGGCCAUGAUGACUUGACGUCAUCCCCACCUUCCUCCAGUUUAUCACUGGCAGUCUCCUUUGAGUUCCCGGCCGGACCGCUGGCAACAAAGGAUAAGGGUUGCGCUCGUUGCGGGACUUAACCCAACAUUUCACAACACGAGCUGACGACAGCCAUGCAGCACCUGUCUCACGGUUCCCGAAGGCACAUUCUCAUCUCUGAAAACUUCCGUGGAUGUCAAGACCAGGUAAGGUUCUUCGCGUUGCAUCGAAUUAAACCACAUGCUCCACCGCUUGUGCGGGCCCCCGUCAAUUCAUUUGAGUUUUAACCUUGCGGCCGUACUCCCCAGGCGGUCUACUUAACGCGUUAGCUCCGGAAGCCACGCCUCAAGGGCACAACCUCCAAGUAGACAUCGUUUACGGCGUGGACUACCAGGGUAUCUAAUCCUGUUUGCUCCCCACGCUUUCGCACCUGAGCGUCAGUCUUUGUCCAGGGGGCCGCCUUCGCCACCGGUAUUCCUCCAGAUCUCUACGCAUUUCNNNNNNNNNNNNNNNNNNNNCCCCCCUCUACAAGACUCAAGCCUGCCAGUUUCGAAUGCAGUUCCCAGGUUGAGCCCGGGGAUUUCACAUCCGACUUGACAGACCGCCUGCGUGCGCUUUACGCCCAGUAAUUCCGAUUAACGCUUGCACCCUCCGUAUUACCGCGGCUGCUGGCACGGAGUUAGCCGGUGCUUCUUCUGCGGGUAACGUCAAUUGCUGCGGUUAUUAACCACAACACCUUCCUCCCCGCUGAAAGUACUUUACAACCCGAAGGCCUUCUUCAUACACGCGGCAUGGCUGCAUCAGGCUUGCGCCCAUUGUGCAAUAUUCCCCACUGCUGCCUCCCGUAGGAGUCUGGACCGUGUCUCAGUUCCAGUGUGGCUGGUCAUCCUCUCAGACCAGCUAGGGAUCGUCGCCUUGGUGAGCCGUUACCUCACCAACAAGCUAAUCCCAUCUGGGCACAUCUGAUGGCAAGAGGCCCGAAGGUCCCCCUCUUUGGUCUUGCGACGUUAUGCGGUAUUAGCCACCGUUUCCAGUAGUUAUCCCCCUCCAUCAGGCAGUUUCCCAGACAUUACUCACCCGUCCGCCACUCGUCAGCAAAGCAGCAAGCUGCUUCCUGUUACCGUUCGACUUGCAUGUGUUAGGCCUGCCGCCAGCGUUCAAUCUGAGCCAUGAUCAAACUCUUCAAUUUAAAAGUUUGAUGCUCAAUGAAUUAAACUUCGUAAUGAAUUACGUGUUCACUCUUGAGACUUGGUAUUCAUUUUUCGU
rnacentral:rRNA from 1 species